rnacentral:rRNA from 1 species
UACGAAGGGGGCUAGCGUUGCUCGGAAUCAUUGGGCGUAAAGGGCGCGUAGGCGGCCGUUCAAGUCGGAUGUGAAAUCCCUCGGCUUAACCGAGGAACUGCAUUCGAUACUGGGUGGCUAGAGUCCGGGAAGGGGUAGUGGAAUUCCCAGUGUAGCGGUGAAAUGCGUAGAUAUUGGGAAGAACACCGGUGGCGAAGGCGGCUACCUGGACCGGUACUGACGCUGAGGCGCGAAAGCCAGGGGAGCGAAUGGG